rnacentral:pre_miRNA from 1 species
GGAAUUCCGCUAGUUCUGAACUAUUCAUGUUUGGUAAAAGUUCACUACUAGCAGAACUCAG